GUGGAACUUGUCGAUGUCGCAGGGCAGCAGCAUGCCGUAGCUGUGGAGCACCGUGGAGCUCCUGGAGCAGGCCUGACAGGGUCACACCAAGCAGCUUCCUGUCAGCGGAUUCCCCGACCCGAGUACCACCGCCCACAGCAGCGUUUUGUGCCAAGAAGUCAGGCCUGAUGAAGCAGAUUCAGCUCAUCGGUUGCAGUAGAUAACUACACGAUGGAGCAGCUCAAUGCUGCAGUGCUGAGAGAGCAGAGCGGCUCAGACAGGACACAAAUGGAAAGAAACAGGAACAUCUUGCAAAGUUGACAUUAAAGUGGUGUGUUCAAAA